UGGGGAAUAUUGCACAAUGGGCGCAAGCCUGAUGCAGCCAUGCCGCGUGUGUGAAGAAGGCCUUCGGGUUGUAAAGCACUUUCAGCGAGGAGGAAGGUGGGUGAACUUAAUACGUUCAUCAAUUGACGUUACUCGCAGAAGAAGCACCGGCUAACUCCGUGCCAGCAGCCGCGGUAAUACGGAGGGUGCAAGCGUUAAUCGGAAUUACUGGGCGUAAAGCGCACGCAGGCGGUUUGUUAAGUCAGAUGUGAAAUCCCCGGGCUCAACCUGGGAACUGCAUUUGAAACUGGCAAGCUAGAGUCCCGUAGAGGGGGGUAGAAUUCCAGGUGUAGCGGUGAAAUGCGUAGAGAUCUGGAGGAAUACCGGUGGCGAAGGCGGCCCCCUGGACGAAGACUGACGCUCAGGUGCG
rnacentral:rRNA from 1 species